rnacentral:snRNA from 1 species
UAGCCUCAUAUCUGAGCU